UACGGGGGGGGCAAGCGUUGUUCGGAAUUACUGGGCGUAAAGGGCUCGUAGGUGGCCAACUAAGUCGGACGUGAAAUCCCUCAGCUUAACUGGGGAACUGCGUCCGAUACUGGAUGGCUUGAGUUUGGGAGAGGGAUGCGGAAUUCCAGGUGUAGCGGUGAAAUGCGUAGAUAUCUGGAGGAACACCGGUGGCGAAGGCGACAUCCUGGACCAACACUGACACUGAGGAGCGAAAGCCAGGGGAGCAAACGGG
rnacentral:rRNA from 1 species